AUAAACGCGGUCCUGCGCAGUACUACUGAAACCGGGGAAAGACCUCACGCUACCUUCUUCCUACAGACCCAUCAGUCUUCCUGACACGGAAGGCAAGCUCUGUGAUAGGAUCCUAUUAACAAGGGUCCUACACGAGGUGAACGAACGCUGGCUGCUGUGCGACGAGCAGUUUGGUUUUCGACCCGGACACAGCACGACGAUGCAGCUGGCUCGCCUCGUUGAAAGGGUCGACAGGAACUUCGACGAGAGGCGGCUAACCGGCGCGGUUUUCCUGGACGAGGCCAAAGCCUUUGACACAGUGUGGAUCGAAGGCCUCCUCUACAAGCUGACCGUCCUCAACUUCCCGUCAUACCUGGUGAAAACCAUCUCAUCCUACCCUGCUUGCCGGACAUUCCACACGUCCUUCCAGUUGGCCACGUCCGCACUUCGUGCCAUGCGGGCCAGAGUCGUGCAGGGUGGACUCGUCUCCCCUGUGAUCUUCAGUCUGUAUGUCAACGACAAACCCACGUCGAGUUAGCGCAGUACGCGGAUGACACGGCUGUCGUGACCACAUCCCUUAGUCCAAAGCAUCUAGUCGGUUAUCUGGAGGCCUACCUCGGUAGACUUGAGCUCUGGCUCAGGGCCUGGAGGAUUGCUAUCAGCGUCUCGAAGAGCACCGCAGUUCUCUUCGUUAAGACCGGGAGACGCAUCCAUCAGCCCAGAGCGGUGCAGUUUCUCGGACAACUGAUACAAUGGGUCAAAAGAACGCAGUAUCUGGGGGUCACACUUGAUACUGGUCUUACCUGGUCGGCGCACGUCAACCAGGCGGGAAAGAGGGCGUGCUAGGCCCGCUCCUUAAUAGGAGAAGUGGCCUGUCCAUCGAGAACGGUGUGCUGCUCUACAAGCAGCUCAUCCAUCCCAAGAUGGAAUACCCAUGCCCGAUCUGGAGGUCGGCUGCCAGCAGCCAAGUCAGGAAGGUGCAAGUGUUAGAAUCCAAGUAAAAGGUUUUUUGGAGAUUGCAUUGAAGAAUAUUUGGUUCGAUAUGGGAGUAUUUUCACAUCCUUGCUGGAGUGAGACAUUAUUGGGUAGUUUGAGCACCUGGUCAGCUGGCACCACGCAGAACUCUGCCCAGUCCCCAUGCUCUUUUCAAUCCCAACACCACUGCAGUGGUUGUAAUUACCAUGUGACAUGCACCCACUGUAGUGUCCUUUCUGUCCUUACAUCACUUCAUUCUGUUUCAGUAUCUUAAUACCAUGUUCUAGAACUUGUUCAAGAAAGUUUCAUAGUUCCAGACAUGUGUCAAUACUUGAACCAAAGACAGGUAAUGAAACAUAUGGUAAAAAAGGUUGUAUAAUGAGUUCUGUUGUACGAGGAGGAAUUUAAAUGCACAAAAUUUUGCCAGGGUAACAUAAAAAAAACAGAACUGGGGCAAACUUCUACCAAGCAUAUUUCCUAUGUUUGUUAUUGGUGUACUAACACCACCAGGUCUUUUUUAUACCUGUUUGGAUCCGCAGCAACAUUGUAACCUUGUUCUCGAGUGAAAGACAUCAUGCCCCGCAGAUGUCAUCACUGCACUGAACUCUUGUCUGAAAAUGACUGGCAUUUCAUGUCAACUAAAUGUUCCCUGGAAUGUGGAGAGACGUAGUUGGCAUCUUCCGAGAGAGUGGCACAGCUAAGCAUCCGAAUCUGAAGAACAACUUUGAUUUCUACUUUGUCUGUAAUGAGGAUUCUUUACACAAGAAUACCUCAUAAUAAGCAUUCAAGAUGGAUGGAAUGCAUACAAAUGGUAAAUGUUAGCAUGUGUCACAAGUGAGACCUGCAGUUUAAAUUAAGAAUUAAAUAAAUUACCUCUUGUGGUAAGUGGUCUUUUCAAAUUUUGUACAUGAAUUCAGAUGUUUCAUAUGUGCAGAUUGUAGAAAGUGAUCAAAGAGUCGUGUGACCAUAUUAAAAUAUUUAUUGAUGAUUGCAAUUCAGUACAAAAUGAGUGAAGUAAUUAACAUGUAUUAUGACUCUGACUAUACAAGAGCCCUCGCAGGUCGUAUGUUGUAAUAUGCUGGCACCAGUCCAUCCAUCCUUUUUCAGCAGUUGAUGUCUUUUUCACAGCAUAAUGUUUAUUCAUUGUGAAGCAGUACCUAGCAUCUUGUUUUUACUUAACUUAGUGUUUAGGGAUACAUAUUCUGAGUCUCCUGUGCCAAAAACAAUUGACAAUAUCACAUUUGGUGAACUGUUUCCAUGGCACAGGUAGUUUGCAGAACAGAAAGCAGUCUGCUGACCAUCUGACACGGCUGGUAGGCCAGGAAAAAUUCAUUAAGCUUCAUCUACUUCAUUCUGCGAGAUUUUGUUUAUGGGAAAUAAAUGGUGAAAGCAUAGUCAUUACUGGAGGGGGUUGGAGGUAAAGCUCCAUGCAUUCUUAACCUUGGCAGUAGAAGGGGGCAAGGGGUCAACUUCAUGCCACAGCUGCCUUAAGCCUGAGAAAAGAACCCUGGUAUUCAAUGGAUUGGAUGGGAGGUAGGGUGGGCCCCACAUCCAGACUGGACAUUGUGACAAAGAGAAAAAUUCCUUCCUAGCCCAGUCAUCAGCCUGCAUCUCAGUCACUAUACUGACUCAUGAAACGGUACCAUUUUUCAUAUAUUAUUUUGAUCACUUCUGCAGAACCAUCACAGCCAUCAUACAAGUGUGCUUAACCAUUGAUGUAGGUAAUAUUACCAAACAUGUAGUAUUCUGUGUGAUGUAGAAAUAUGCUUUCUGUGGUAAAUUGUCUUCCUGAUAUGGUUAUUAGGUGGUCAAGAAGUCUCUUUGCUUUCUAUUCUGACAAAAAUUCUCUAUGCACUUCUAAUAUUUAGCCACAAUAUUUCCUCAUCUAUCUUAAUUUAAUUAUGGUUACAUUAUUAAGUGAAGAAUAUAAAUUAUGAAACUCCUUG